GGUUGUGUAGUGUAGUGGUUAUCACUUUGGAUUUUGACUGACGUCAAAAUGUCAAACUUUCCAAUAACCCCGGUUCGAACCCGGGCACGACCU